CCAGAUCGUGUCAGUCGUGCCCGAUCCGCGCGGGAGUUAGGGUAGUGUCGAAGAUUCGGAGUAUCCGUGUACAGAAACCCCGCGAGAUGACGAUAAUCGAAGAAUUUCCUGUAAAAGAAGCUCCGUCGUAACAAUAUUGAAAGGAGCUGUAAAAAUCCGUCCGACAAUUAAACAAACAGUGAACUAAUAUCGUUUAUCGAAUUCCCGGCGUACGAGAGAGAAGGACCAGCAUCCUUGGUUAGCCGUUGAAGGAACAACCCCUAAAACCUUGACUUAAAAUGUAGCAUCGUGCCCCAUAUGCGACUGGCCCACUCGAUAUAACUGAACGUAGCACCGAGCUGCAGGCGAGACCGAGGACUAGGGAAAGAAGAGAAUCAUCUCUAAUAUGUAGUGAUCUCGGCGAGGAGGUGGUAGGACGAACCUUUUGGCGAUCGGGUGCUGCGCUGGAGAGGUGGAUGAAUGUUGUACCUGACCUGCAGCAGUGGGCUGAAUCCAGGUGUAAUUGCGGCGAGGAUCAAGGUGUAUAGAAUGAAGCCGAAGUCCUGCAAGAACGUCGUUCACAGUAUAUUGUACGCUGGCGUUCAGUCGAAGAAAGCCCACCGCAAGCGGAGCCUCAGCCGAGAGAUAUGACGGUUUCGGGGAAUAUUUUAACCUCCGAAUAGCGAUAGAAAAGAAAGGAAUUAUCUUAUCCAGGUUUGCGGGGCAACGGAUUUCAAGUUAAGUGUACUGCCAACGAGACAGAAGCUACGGAUUCGCGGCAUCGAGGCGAGGAUGACACUUCAAUGGGACAAACUUUCGCCCGCGGAGUUUCAACAACUUCAGGAUCUCGCUGCCUAUUCACCGAGGAAACUGCAAGAUGUAUUGGCCACCUUUUGCGGGUCUACUACCACACCAGGAGGAGUGCAAAAAUACCAUCCGGACGGGGUGAGGAAUUUUGAAUACCUGGAGAACAAAUUCAGAGACAUUGAUUACGAUGGAUUCCGCAAGUUCCUUGACAGUUAUCUCGAGGUGGGCGCCCCAGAUGAGCUGGCCAGGCACCUCUUCCUCUCCUUCGUUAAAAAGGGGCCAAAUGCAACGGACACGAAGGCGCUCAAGAACAUUUCGUUACAACGUUGCGUACAGGAAAUGGCUGUUCUAUCAUCGACAACUGCCUGUGCGGUAAUAACUUCGCACACGACGUCAAACACCAAUGUGAACAGCACAGGGUUGACUGGAAGUGGUGGAGGCGCGUCUGAAAGUCACUGCGGAGGAUCUUCGUUUGUAGAUAAAUUUCACGGUCUUACAGAGAAGCUACAGGCUCUCGGGCACCACAGAAGCGACAGCGAAACUUCUGCGAGAGCUCGAACAGGCAGUGUACAUCCUAUGCUGACUGUAACGCACACGUCGUACAGCUGUCACGACGUGUUGGAAAAAAAAAGCACAGACAGCAGCCCGAGCCACAGCCAAAUGUCCCGAAAUUCAUCCCGAAAAUCUAACAACUCCCUGUUCGUUAACAAUGGAAAAUUAGAAGAAAUUAGACACCUCGCCAGGAAACAGAGCAUGAUAGAUGUGCACACCGUCAAAGUUAGCUUGAAAGAUAUCGUCUGCUACCUUUCUUUGCUCGAAGCUGGCCGACCCGAAGAUAAGCUAGAAUUCAUGUUCCGGUUGUACGAUACCGAUGGGAAUGGGGUCCUCGAUCGAAACGAAAUCGAUUGCAUAGUAAACCAGAUGAUGAAUGUUGCGGAAUAUCUUGGAUGGGAUGUGACCGAACUGAAGCCGAUUCUACAAGACAUGAUGAUAGAGAUUGACUACGAUUCGGAUGGAACAGUUUCAUUAGACGAAUGGAAAAGAGGGGGCCUAACGACAAUACCGCUACUUGUACUUUUGGGACUAGAUUCGCACGUUAAAGAGGAUGGUAAUCACCUCUGGAAGCUGAAGCACUUCAGCAAGCCUGCCUAUUGUAACCUUUGUCUCAACAUGCUUGUAGGUUUGGGUAAAAAGGGAUUAUCCUGUGUCUUUUGUAAAUAUACUGUCCAUGAAAGAUGCGUACAAAGAGCGCCUGCCUCUUGCAUAGCAACUUACGUCAAGAGUAAAAAGACUUCUCAAACAAUGGCCCAUCAUUGGGUCGAAGGUAACUGCCAUGGGAAGUGUUCAAAGUGUAGAAAGACGAUAAAAAGUUACAACGGUAUCACGGGACUCCACUGUCGAUGGUGUCAAAUAACUCUCCAUAACAGAUGCGUUUCUCAAGUCAGAGCCGAAUGUACACUUGGAGAAUAUGCAGCCCACAUCUUACCUCCAACUGCCAUUUGCCCUGUAGUUAUAGACAGACAACGAUCGUUGUCCAGGGAUAGUAAGAGGGGCAGUAGAUAUGGUCAAGAUAAUGCGUCUAGCACAUCUAAUGCCGCAGUUUCCAGGGGAGGUUCGUCCAACCAGCAGCCUGCGAUGUCUUUUCAGAUAACAUUACCACCAGGGGUAACGCCGCUCGCAGUUUUUAUAAAUCCAAAAUCUGGCGGUAGGCAGGGUGAAAAAAUGCUGAGGAAGUUUCAGUACAUACUAAAUCCAAGACAAGUUCACAAUUUGGCUACCGGUGGUCCAAUGCAAGGGCUCCAAAUGUUCAAGGAUGUGGAAAACUUCAAAGUUAUUUGUUGCGGGGGAGAUGGGACUGUUGGAUGGAUAUUAGAAACUAUGGACCAUGUCCAGUUCUUACAGCAGCCUGCAGUAGGAGUAAUACCACUGGGAACAGGCAAUGACUUGGCUAGAUGCUUGCGUUGGGGUGGUGGGUAUGAGGGGGAAGCAAUUUACAAGGUUUUAAAGAAAAUAGAAAAAGCUACGCCGGUAAUGAUGGACCGAUGGCAAAUCGAAAUGAUAGACCAAGAUGAAGAAAGAAAACCAAAUCAGGAUUCCAUACCGUACAACAUAAUCAACAACUACUUCUCUGUUGGCGUCGAUGCUGCGAUUUGCGUUAAGUUUCACUUGGAGAGGGAACGAAAUCCAGAGAAAUUCAAUAGCAGAAUGAAAAACAAACUGUGGUAUUUUGAGUACGCAACUAGCGAGCAGUUUGCUGCUAGUUGUAAGAACCUCCAUGAAGAUUUGGAGAUAAUAUGUGAUGACAUUCCUUUAGAUUUAGCUCACGGGCCCUCGUUGCAAGGUGUCGCCCUGUUGAACAUCCCCUUUACACACGGGGGCUCAAAUUUAUGGGGUGAACAUCACACGAGGCAUCGCCUUGGAAAGCGUAGAAAACGUCCAGACAAAGAACUGAGCACUAGCAGUUUUAAUUCUGUAGAUUUAAACGCAGCUAUUCAAGAUAUAGGAGACAAUCUCAUAGAAGUAAUAGGAUUGGAAAAUUGUUUACACAUGGGUCAAGUCAAGACAGGUCUCAGAGCAUCUGGAAGAAGACUAGCCCAGUGCAGCAGUGUUAAAAUAAAAACUACCAAAAGGUUUCCCAUGCAGAUUGACGGAGAACCAUGGAUGCAGGGACCAUGCACGAUUCACAUCACCCAUAAAAACCAAGUACCGAUGUUGAUGGCUCCCCCUCCGGAGAAAAGUAAAGGAUUUUUUCGCUUUUUAAAGAGGAAAGUUUGCUGUAAUUACUAUUGUUAUUGAGUGUAUGGUAAGAUUUCACCCAGGAUUGAAGGCUACAGAUAUCGGUAAACCAUUGAUGGUAUUAUUUCACAAUUGAGAGCGAACUAUUGAAAUUCACGAAUGAACAAAUAAUGAAAAAUUAGAUAACCGCAAUCAGGUUCAAUUUAGUAUUUGAUGAUGUACCAAUAGAACAAAAAAUUAACACAUUCGUUGAUAGUACGAGGUCCGUAAACGUCGCUUUAUAUCCCAUAAAUGGUAGCGAGAUAGUUAUAAUAGUAUAAGCCGUGUCGAAUGGUAAACGGCGUUAGUAUAAGAUAAAAGUAAAAUAAAAAUAAAAAACAAACAUAAAUCAAGAAAUAAAUCAAAAAGAGUUUAGAAAACUCCGUCAUAUUCAAAAAUAUAUUUUCUAGCUACGUACAGAUUUAAGUCUCGGAUGAUAUUUUCUGAAUAUCUUAGGACUUGUUGCAACCUGUAUAGUGAAUUAAUAUCAAAAUUAAUACUGAACCGAUUGAUACUCAUGAAUUUAUAUUUAUAUCAUCUAUAGAAUUAUAACAAAUAUAGUAUAAUAUUGAAUAAUGAUAAAACAAUUUAAAAGAAUAAAUAAAUAACAAUAAUUAAUCAGUUAAAUGAACAAAUAAAUCAAAAUAAGAAACUGUUGUUUUUAUAUGGAUGCAGACCAGCAUCCUAUUCUGAAGUCUGAUUGAAAAUAAAACAAAAAAUUAACGAAAACACGAUAGAGAAAAAAAUAAUAACGCCUGUCUACAGAACACAUUACCAAUAGUAAAGCUGACCAGCAUUAUCACAACUAUGGAUGCAUGUGAGCCGAAGUGUACUGCAAUCAAAAAAAUAUAUGCGCUCUGUCUAAUUGUGAAGUAAACUAAAAAAAAGAAAAAAUAGAUGCGCUAUGUCCAUUGUUGCUUGUUAUUCUACGUUUAUUGUAUGGCGUAAUGAAGCAGGACAUGAAAGUACAGUUAGGCAUAGACUGAUGUCAGCGUGUUUCAGUUAGGAUAAAUAUCAGUAUAAUAUUAGGAGGGUUGAGAUAUUUGAUGUGGUCACUGGCAUUUACACUGUGUGUAUCAAGAAAUUAUUAUUUUUUUUUAACAACUUAUUUCUCAUCUGACAUACCUACGUAUGUACAAACUAUAUAUACCUAAUUCACGUUGCCGAAUCUAUUUUUUCUAUUAGUAUAAUUCUCUACAAUCACGCUUGAUAGGUAUUAUACCUGUAAUCAAUUAACAAACGUUUACUUUUGUCUUUAGAAAUAUACAAAUUAUGGAAUGAUUAUCCGCUGUGUAUUUAUAGUCUAAUGAUAAUAUACUUUUACGUUUUCAGCUAUUUAAUACGUAUUAUAUUGCAUUGUAAAUCUCAGAUGAAAACGAAUAAAGGUGAAUAAUGAAAGGUCUAAUUUAAAACAAAUUGUCCGUGAAUAACGAACGACUUAUAUAUAAAUAAGUAUA
rnacentral:misc_RNA from 1 species